AUCCCUAGCAUAGUGGUUAGUGCACAGCCACGGAUAGGUUGAGACGCGGGUUCGAAUCCCGCUUGAGAUG
rnacentral:tRNA from 1 species